GGUGGCCUAGCUGUCCGUAUCACCCCCAAAUGCAACCUUCCAGUCCCAAACCCAGGCGUUCUAAGCGCUCAGGACGACGAUUUGCGCUCACGCCAGGACCCUAGUCCUCAUUGGACCCUUCCUCAUUCUAUCCUCAUUGAGGCCAUUUGAGAAUAGGAGCCAUCUGAGAAUGCAGGGGAGUGGACAUCAUGUGCAGACAGGUAGUCUGAUUGUGAGUUCCGCGGGGCUGAGCCCUGCUUGGACAUGGCCUGCUGGUGCCACCGGGCUUGAAUGGUCUUCAAAUCCACUGCUAUUAGGCAAAUUAUCUGGUUCCCGCUGAACCCCAGCACCUAGAACUAUGUCACACUCAUAGUAGGUCGCCGCAUUGGUUGAACAAAUGAUUUUGAAAGAAUGAAUGGCUUCCUCUGUGCCUGCAUUUCCUCAGAAGGUUGUAACAAAGAUUAAAUAGGAAAAUUCGUGGAAAGUUCAAU